rnacentral:rRNA from 1 species
AACGAACGCUGGCGGCGUGCCUAACACAUGCAAGUCGAACGAGACCGUCGGGGCUAGCUGCUCACGGGUACUUACGGCCGGGUGAGUAGCCCGUAGGUAACCUGCCACUUACCGAAGGGUAACUUAAGGCAGCAUUAUCUAAUACCGCAUAAGAUUUAUUGCUUAUGGAUGUGUGCUUGUAGGAUUCGCUUGUUGGUAGAGUAAAUGCCUAUCAAGGGGAUGAUCUAUAGCUGGUGUGAGAGGAUGAUCAGCCACACUGGGACUGAGAGACGGCGCGGAGUCCUGCGGAAGGAAGCAGUGCGGAACAAUGAACGAUGGGCGAAAGACUGAUCCAGCAAGGCCGCGUGAGGGAGGAAGGCCUGAGGGUUGUAAAGCUCUUUUGACCGGGAUCAUAAUGACAGUACCGGGAGAAUAAGCUACGGCUAACUCCGUG